AUUGAACGCUGGCGGCAUGCUUUACACAUGCAAGUCGAACGGUAACAGCACUUCGGUGGCUGACGAGUGGCGAACGGGUGAGUAAUACAUCGGAACGUGCCUAGUAGUGGGGGAUAACUACUCGAAAGAGUAGCUAAUACCGCAUGAGAUCUAAGGAUGAAAGCAGGGGACCUUCGGGCCUUGCGCUACUAGAGCGGCUGAUGGCAGAUUAGGUAGUUGGUGGGAUAAAAGCUUACCAAGCCGACGAUCUGUAGCUGGUCUGAGAGGACGACCAGCCACACGGGGAAUGAGACACGGCGCAGACUCCUACGGGAGGCAGCAGUGGGGAAUUUUGGACAAGGGGCGGAAGCCUGAUCCAGCAAUGCCGCGUGCAGGAUGAAGGCCUUCGGGUUGUAAACUGCUUUUGUACGGAACGAAAAGACCUCUUCUAAUACAGGAGGGUCAUGACGGUACCGUAAGAAUAAGCACCGGCUAAUUACGU
rnacentral:rRNA from 1 species